GAUCAUGGCUCAGAUUGAACGCUGGCGGCAGGCCUAACACAUGCAAGUCGAGCGGCAUCGGGAAGGUAGCUUGCUAUCUUUGCCGGCGAGCGGCGGACGGGUGAGUAAAGUCUGGGGAUCUGCCUGAUGGAGGGGGAUAACUACUGGAAACGGUAGCUAAUACCGCAUGAUGUUACGCGACCAAAGCGGGGGACCUCCGGGCCUCGCGCCAUCAGAUGAACCCAGAUGGGAUUAGCUAGUAGGAGAGGUAAUGGCUCCCCUAGGCGACGAUCCCUAGCUGGUCUGAGAGGAUAACCAGCCACACUGGAACUGAGAGACGGUCCAGACUCCUACGGGAGGCAGCAGUGGGGAAUAUUGCACAAUGGGCGCAAGCCUGAUGCAGCCAUGCCGCGUGUGUGAAGAAGGCCUUCGGGUGUA
rnacentral:rRNA from 1 species